AAUUUGUUGACUCACGAAUAUACUUACUCGCCUCAAGCGAAUCUGCGCAAGGGAUGGUUGACUGGCUUAGAUGCAACUACUGUUGGUUUGAGUUCUGAAGCUCACAACAUCUCGAGGGACUUAGUUUGGGCCUCUUUAUGGGUGUCAACACAUGCAUUUGAA